CAGUGUGACUCGUCACACUAUCAUUAACUGAAUCCAUAGGUUAAUGAGGCGAACCGGGGGAACUGAAACAUCUAAGUACCCCGAGGAAAAGAAAUCAACCGAGAUUCCCCCAGUAGCGGCGAGCGAACGGGGAGGAGCCCAGAGCCUGAAUCAGCAUGUGUGUUAGUGGAAGCGUCUGGAAAGGCGCGCGAUACAGGGUGACAGCCCCGUACACAAAAGCGCAUGUGCUGUGAGCUCGAUGAGUAGGGCGGGACACGUGGUAUCCUGUCUGAAUAUGGGGGGACCAUCCUCCAAGGCUAAAUACUCCUGACUGACCGAUAGUGAACCAGUACCGUGAGGGAAAGGCGAAAAGAACCCCGGCGAGGGGAGUGAAAAAGAACCUGAAACCGUGUACGUACAAGCAGUGGGAGCACCCUUUGGGGUGUGACUGCGUACCUUUUGUAUAAUGGGUCAGCGACUUAUAUUCUGUAGCAAGGUUAACCGUAUAGGGGAGCCGGAGGGAAACCGAGUCUUAAUUGGGCGUUAAGUUGCAGGGUAUAGACCCGAAACCCGGUGAUCUAGCCAUGGGCAGGUUGAAGGUUGGGUAACACUAACUGGAGGACCGAACCGACUAAUGUUGAAAAAUUAGCGGAUGACCUGUGGCUGGGGGUGAAAGGCCAAUCAAACCGGGAGAUAGCUGGUUCUCCCCGAAAGCUAUUUAGGUAGCGCCUCGUGAAUUCAUCUCCGGGGGUAGAGCACUGUUUCGGCUAGGGGGCCAUCCCGGCUUACCAACCCGAUGCAAACUGCGAAUACCGGAGAAUGUUAUCACGGGAGACACACGGCGGGUGCUAACGUCCGUCGUGAAGAGGGAAACAACCCAGACCGCCAGCUAAGGUCCCAAAGUCAUGGUUAAGUGGGAAACGAUGUGGGAAGGCCCAGACAGCCAGGAUGUUGGCUUAGAAGCAGCCAUCAUUUAAAGAAAGCGUAAUAGCUCACUGGUCGAGUCGGCCUGCGCGGAAGAUGUAACGGGGCUAAACCAUGCACCGAAGCUGCGGCAGCGACGCUUAUGCGUUGUUGGGUAGGGGAGCGUUCUGUAAGCCUGUGAAGGUGUGUCGUGAGGCAUGCUGGAGGUAUCAGAAGUGCGAAUGCUGACAUAAGUAACGAUAAAGCGGGUGAAAAGCCCGCUCGCCGGAAGACCAAGGGUUCCUGUCCAACGUUAAUCGGGGCAGGGUGAGUCGACCCCUAAGGCGAGGCCGAAAGGCGUAGUCGAUGGGAAACGGGUUAAUAUUCCCGUACUUGGUGUUACUGCGAAGGGGGGACGGAGAAGGCUAUGUUGGCCGGGCGACGGUUGUCCCGGUUUAAGCGUGUAGGUGUGUGUUCCAGGUAAAUCCGGUUCACUUUAACACUGAGGCGUGACGACGAGGCACUACGGUGCUGAAGCAACAAAUGCCCUGCUUCCAGGAAAAGCCUCUAAGCAUCAGGUAACAUCAAAUCGUACCCCAAACCGACACAGGUGGUCAGGUAGAGAAUACCAAGGCGCUUGAGAGAACUCGGGUGAAGGAACUAGGCAAAAUGGUGCCGUAACUUCGGGAGAAGGCACGCUGACACGUAGGUGAAGUGAUUUACUCAUGGAGCUGAAGUCAGUCGAAGAUACCAGCUGGCUGCAACUGUUUAUUAAAAACACAGCACUGUGCAAACACGAAAGUGGACGUAUACGGUGUGACGCCUGCCCGGUGCCGGAAGGUUAAUUGAUGGGGUCAGCGCAAGCGAAGCUCCUGAUCGAAGCCCCGGUAAACGGCGGCCGUAACUAUAACGGUCCUAAGGUAGCGAAAUUCCUUGUCGGGUAAGUUCCGACCUGCACGAAUGGCGUAAUGAUGGCCAGGCUGUCUCCACCCGAGACUCAGUGAAAUUGAACUCGCUGUGAAGAUGCAGUGUACCCGCGGCAAGACGGAAAGACCCCGUGAACCUUUACUAUAGCUUGACACUGAACAUUGAGCCUUGAUGUGUAGGAUAGGUGGGAGGCUUUGAAGCGUGGACGCCAGUCUGCGUGGAGCCGACCUUGAAAUACCACCCUUUAAUGUUU
rnacentral:rRNA from 1 species